AUUGAACGCUGGCGGCAUGCUUUACACAUGCAAGUCGAACGGUAACAGGUUAAGCUGACGAGUGGCGAACGGGUGAGUAAUGCAUCGGAACGUGCCCGGUCGUGGGGGAUAACGCAGCGAAAGCUGCGCUAAUACCGCAUAAGAUCAGAGGAUGAAAGCGGGGGACCGGAAGGCCACGCGCGAUCGGAGCGGCCGAUGGCAGAUUAGGUAGUUGGUGGGGUAAAGGCUCACCAAGCCGACGAUCUGUAGCUGGUCUGAGAGGACGACCAGCCACACUGGGACUGAGACACGGCCCAGACUCCUACGGGAGGCAGCAGUGGGGAAUUUUGGACAAUGGGCGCAAGCCUGAUCCAGCAAUGCCGCGUGCAGGAAGAAGGCCUUCGGGUUGUAAACUGCUUUUGUACGGAGCGAAAAGGCUCUCUCUAAUACAGGGGGCUCAUGACGGUACCGUAAGAAUAAGCACCGGCUAACUACGUGCCAGCAGCCGCCGCGG
rnacentral:rRNA from 1 species